CUCUGGUUCCAGUCGGGAGGACGAGGCGAGACGCUCUUAGCUAGCGGAGCUAACUGGACAAAAUUGGUUUUAUACUCGAGCAUAGGCUUGAAAACUUUUAAUUUGGGGGGCGAAGAUGGAAAUACAGCGCCUUGGUGCCCAGCAGGGAUGUUGUACCACUCAAACUAACCGCGGGUUUAUCGUCGGAGAGGAACUUUUGCACCGUGACGGCAGAGCCACGGCUCAGGCCGUCCACGCCGUCCGCCAGGCCCCGGAGUUCCGGAGCGGUCCGUCCGGAGGAGGAGCCGCCGGGCCGCCUCUUCUUGACGUCUGAUACCUACCCAGAUGUCACACUUGCCAGGGAAGAACCUCUCGGGGAUGCGGGCGGCGUACAGACAGGCUCCAGUGAUGUAGAGCAUCGCCAUGAGCAGCAGCCAGCCCAUCUGCCCGAUGGUGGUCGCUCGGAUCAGACCCUCGCUGAUGACGAAGUGGAGGGUGGGAACCACACCGCUCAGACCCAGACCCACAAACACACCUGCAAACAGACAGAGAGAGAGAAGACUCUGGAGACGCCCUCAGAGUGGCAGUACACUGUAUGGAAGAGCCAGGAGAAGGAGAGGCAGAGGAUGGCUCCCAGGAAAAACAUCCCGAUCACCACUUUCUCCUGAACCGGAGCCACGAAUGACAUGUUGGGCCUGAACAUGUACAUCAGCCCGAGACAGAGGAAGAACAGACAACCUGGAGGGCAGAGAGAGACAGAGAGAAUGAGACUGCCAUUAAUUAAGAAAAACAAGGCAGCUGUGGACCACUUAUGAUGUGUAACGGUCAAUCAGUAACACAUACGUCAUGUUUUAAACAGUAACAGGAGUGUUACCCUUUGACAAAUCACUGUUAUUUCUAAAAUACUGGAGUGCAGUGAGUGUUGCCAGAGAUACUAUGUGUAACAAGCACACAAAUAAGAGACCAACAGUCCAAAACAAACAACAUCAACAGUAUUGACAUAUUCUAUAAUGAGUCAGUUCAAGUCACAACACAUUUUGUUGCAGUAUCUCCCUCAAGCCACUAGGUGGGAGCAGAGCAGCGGCAAACCAAGCAGAAACUGUUUUCCAAACCAUUAGAAACUUGAGUGGCUCUUGAGCGGUGCUAGAGAAGAAAUGCUGCCUCGGCUUUAAAGUGCAGAGGUGAGAACAGCUGUUUCAAAUGGGACGGAAAGUGAAGCUGGCACCCGCUCAGACUCACACAGAGCUCGCUGGGUUACAUUUGAAGGAGCUCUUUGUCUCCUUACACAACCCUCCGGCUCAGCUGUUGACACAGUAAUGCUUAUAAAAAGCUAAUCAGCCCGAUUUUGCCCUCUGCCAGUGUGACAUUUUAUGUAAGAACCGGUUAUCUGACCCUGCUCUUUAUCUAUUCACUGUUUUUUUCUCAGCUAAAUAUAUUAGAGAGUCAGACAAAUACCUAGAGAAGCAAAAAAUACUGAGCACUACUUGGCAAACUUCAUCAUCUCAUUCAAAUAUCCAACAGUCAGUCGCAGCACAGGCCUGUGUGUGUGUGUUGUACCUAGCAGGUGUGUCCAGAUGUUUCCCGUCUCCGUGUGGAUUCUAAAGAUGCUCUUGAAACAGGCGCGGAACGAAGGCAUCGGUGGCCUGUGACCGUGAAGCAGGAAGUCGUUGUCCUUCAGCCAAUCAGGGAGCACGUCAUGGGGGAUGACGCGCCACCGGCCCUCCCACACCUGAUUAGUUGAAAAAGGCGCACAGGAGGAGUGUGUGUGUGUGUUAAAGCAAUGUCAAUUUGAGCUUCUCAAUAAAAACUUAAAUAGCUGUAAACAAGGUAUGAUGUUUGCAUGCAACUAAAGGAUCCCAAAUAAUCUGAUUGUUAGUGUGAAAUAAAAAAAAAAAAGGUAUCCACAGAUUAAAACAGUAAAUUUACGACAGUUACAGUUAAAACUUUUUGUCUAUAU